rnacentral:rRNA from 1 species
AGUGAACGCUGGCGGUAGGCCUAACACAUGCAAGUCGAACGGCAGCACAGUAAGAGCUUGCUCUUACGGGUGGCGAGUGGCGGACGGGUGAGGAAUACAUCGGAAUCUACUUUUUCGUGGGGGAUAACGUAGGGAAACUUACGCUAAUACCGCAUACGACCUACGGGUGAAAGCAUGGGAUCUUCGGACCUUGCGCGAUUGAAUGAGCCGAUGUCGGUUUAGCUAGUUGGCGGGGUAAAGGCCCACCAAGGCGACGAUCCGUAGCUGGUCUGAGAGGAUGAUCAGCCACACUGGAACUGAGACACGGUCCAGACUCCUACGGGAGGCAGCAGUGGGGAAUAUUGGACAAUGGGCGCAAGCCUGAUCCAGCCAUACCGCGUGGGUGAAGAAGGCCUUCGGGUUGUAAAGCCCUUUUGUUGGGAAAGAAAAGCAGCAGGUUAAUACCCCGCUGUUCUGACGGUACCCAAAGAAUAAGCACCGGCUAACUUCGUG